GUUUCUGUAGUGUAGUGGUUAUCACGUCCACCCAACACGCGGAUGGUCGCAGGUUUGAACCUUGCCAGGAACA